ACAUCUAGAAGAGUCCAGAAGCCACGGGAACGAACGGGAGACCGGACGGGCCCGGGGGUAGGGCGCCCGCCUCCCCCCUUGGGUGCCCGCCCUUGUCUGAGGGCCAAUCAGAACCAAUCUCGCGGAUUAUGCUCCACCGACCUAAAGGAUCAAGGAAAACCGUGCGAUUAAUGUUGGUUUGAUCCGACGGCCCACAUUCAUCUAGAAGGACUAUAUAAGCAGACCCCCUGGUCCCUGGAGGAGAGCACCUCUAAACUCUAGUAAUUCAUUAUCCAUCUCGGGAGAAGAAGCCUCUGAUCAAGCCCUAGA
rnacentral:lncRNA from 1 species